rnacentral:rRNA from 1 species
GCUACCAUGCAGUCGGAGGUAGCACAGAGGAGCUUGCUCCUCGGGUGACGAGUGGCGGACGGGUGAGUAAUGUCUGGGGAUCUGCCCGAUAGAGGGGGAUAACCACUGGAAACGGUGGCUAAUACCGCAUAACGUCGCAAGACCAAAGAGGGGGACCUUCGGGCCUCUCACUAUCGGAUGAACCCAGAUGGGAUUAGCUAGUAGGCGGGGUAAUGGCCCACCUAGGCGACGAUCCCUAGCUGGUCUGAGAGGAUGACCAGCCACACUGGAACUGAGACACGGUCCAGACUCCUACGGGAGGCAGCAGUGGGGAAUAUUGCACAAUGGGCGCAAGCCUGAUGCAGCCAUGCCGCGUGUAUGAAGAAGGCCUUCGGGUUGUAAAGUACUUUCAGCGGGGAGGAAGGCGGUGAGGUUAAUAACCUCGCCGAUUGACGUUACCCGCAGAAGAAGCACCGGCUAACUCCGUGCCAGCAGCCGCGGUAAUACGGAGGGUGCAAGCGUUAAUCGGAAUUACUGGGCGUAAAGCGCACGCAGGCGGUCUGUUAAGUCAGAUGUGAAAUCCCCGGGCUUAACCUGGGAACUGCAUUUGAAACUGGCAGGCUUGAGUCUCGUAGAGGGGGGUAGAAUUCCAGGUGUAGCGGUGAAAUGCGUAGAGAUCUGGAGGAAUACCGGUGGCGAAGGCGGCCCCCUGGACGAAAGACUGACGCUCAGGUGCGAAAGCGUGGGGAGCAAACAGGAUUAGAUACCCCUGGUAGUCCACGCCGUAAACGAUGUCGACUUUGAAGGUUGUUCCCUUUGAGGAGUGGCUUCCGGAGCUAACGCGUUAAGGUCGACCGGCCGGGGGAAGUAC